UACGUAGGGCGCAAGCGUUAUCCGGAAUUAUUGGGCGUAAAGAGCUCGUAGGCGGUUUGUCGCGUCUGCCCGUGAAAAGUCCGGGGCUCAACUCCGGAUCUGCGGUGGGUACGGGCAGACUAGAGUGAUGUAGGGGAGACUGGAAUUCCUGGUGUAGCGGUGAAAUGCGCAGAUAUCAGGAGGAACACCGAUGGCGAAGGCAGGUCUCUGGGCAUUAACUGACGCUGAGGAGCGAAAGCAUGGGGAGCGAACAGG
rnacentral:rRNA from 1 species